GAACGCGACCUUCGGGUCGAGUGGCGAACGGGUGAGUAACACGUGAGCAACCUGCCCCGAAGAUUGGGAUAACCCCGGGAAACCGGAGCUAAUACCGAAUACCCCCACCGGGUCGCAUGGCCUGGUGAGGAAAUGGAUUCCGCUUCGGGAGAGGCUCGCGGCCUAUCAGCUUGAUGGUGGGGUAACGGCCCACUAUGGCACCGACGGGUAGCUGGUCUGAGAGGACGAUCAGCCACACUGGGACUGAGACACGGCCCAGACUCCUACGGGAGGCAGCAGUGGGGAAUCUUGCGCAAUGGGCGAAAGCCUGACGCAGCAACGCCGCGUGAGGGACGAAGGCCUUCUGGGUUGUAAACCUCUUUCAGCAGGGACGAUUAUGACGGUACCUGCAGAAGAAGCCCCGGCCAACUACGUGCCAGCAGCCGCGGUAAUACGUAGGGGGCGAGCGUUGUCCGGAAUUAUUGGGCGUAAAGAGCUCGUAGGCGGCUUAGCAAGUCACGUGUGAAAUCUCCAGGCUCAACCUGGAGAUGCCACGUGAUACUUCUAUGGCUUGAGUCCGGUAGGGGACCAUGGAAUUCCUGGUGUAGCGGUGAAAUGCGCAGAUAUCAGGAGGAACACCAGUGGCGAAGGCGGUGGUCUGGGCCGGAACUGACGCUGAGGAGCGAAAGCGUGGGGA
rnacentral:rRNA from 1 species